ensembl:snoRNA
UAUUGCUUCUAAGAUGAUUGAGUGGUAUAGAGAUUGCAGGGGGGAGGUCCAGCAGGCUGUGCUUCUCCCCGGCAUAGUCUUAUUUCAUACCUGCGCAUCU